AUUCGCAAAUUGUAAGGGUAGCACGAACUCCCAGAAUGAACAGUGUCAUCCGUCCCGCUCAUCGGCGAUUAGAGGAGCCCCAUCGGGAGGGAAAAUCAUCGUGACUUGUGAAGGGAAGAAACGAUGAACACUUCAGGGUCUUCUAUACAACCUAACAGCAAUUUGCGGGUCUCGGAGAAGCCUCGGCAGAACCAGAAGCCUCCUUUCAGACCAGCAAAGGACGACACCAAGCCUGUGCUUCAAGACCCGAUACUGAGGUCUGAUCCAAUUGAGACAGAGGAAGCUGUGCUGCGACUGCCUCCCUUCUCGAUCGCCAGAUCAACUACACCAUCCAAAAUGUCCUGAACAUAUAAUUUAUUUCUUUUCUGUUUUGAUAUCUUUCAGCGAUGUCCUUGUCGUUUCCUCUUCACUUCUCACUUGAGCGUUAGGUUUCUAUUAUUUCUUCCUGUUUUGGCCCAUUUGAUUAGCUUACCAGAAAUCCCGACUCUUUAAAGGCUGUAAUUUCUUCUGCUAUGCUGUUACUAGCUGAAUUUAUGUUGUUGGUGUGAUAGCUUGCUUCCUAAUCUAUUUUUCCACUUACAAAUUA